CGAAACAAAACGGCUGCGUCUUUUCGGAUGACGGCCGCUCGUCUGGACGCCCGACCUGACGUCGGCCGGCCCGGAAAAGGAACAGAAAACAACAUUCGGCCGAUCAUUCGAAACGGUUUGGACGGUGAAAUCUGCUGGGGAUCGGACAUGUCGAAGCUCGUUGGCGAAAUUUCAAGGUGUCACUCGAACUCUGCCGUCUGCCACCUGUUGCCAUUCCGCAACGGCAAGAGACCCAAUUUCUCCACCCGACC